rnacentral:tRNA from 1 species
GUACUAGUGGUCUAGUGGUAGAAUAGUACCUUGCCACGGUAUAGACUCAGGUUCGAUUUCUGGUUGGUGUA